rnacentral:lncRNA from 1 species
GAAGAGUGCUGGUGCCUGAUGGGUGUUCAACAAGUGUUUGUUGAGAAUUCAGGAAGGGCUUGGCCAGGUGCUUCUGGCUAGGAGAGCUCUGCACAGGUGCAGUCCCACAGCUGCUGGACAGCUGAUGCAACUGGGCGCUGGCUGGAUAGCCCUCUUCAUGGAGACCUGGGGUUGCUCCAAGUGGCUGCUCUGCGUAGGAUGUUUGGGCUUCCACACAGCAUGGCUGCCACGGGGCAGUCUGACUGCUGACAUGGUGACUGAUGACUGCAACUUCAGGAGCAAGUAUUCCAGGGACCAAAAUGGAAGCUGUACCACCUUUAGCAAUCUAGCCUCUGAAGUCACAUAGUGUCUCUCCUGCCAUAUUCCAUGGAUCACAAUAUUCACAGAAGCCAACCCAAUUUUGAGGGGAGGGGACAUGGAUUCCCCCAUCCCUGGAAGGAAUGUCAAGGUGACAUUGUAAGAGGAGCGGUUGAGUUGGCAGAUGUUGUUGUGGCCACUUUUGGAAAAUAAAAUCAUCCACAGGAAUCAAACCUAAAAAAAGACUGGAAGUCAUUGCCCCUGGGGAGUGGAAUCAGGGCUGAGGAGGGUUUGAGGGUAGGGAACUGUGAAGUUAGAUCUUAGC